UGUCAUCCCCUCCUCGAUCCCCUCCACCUUUCCUAUCUUGUCCGCUCGGGCGUCCUGCGAACGCACGCGGCACCUCGCCUCUUGCCUACGAGCGCACGUGCCUCGCCUCGCCUCGCCCGCCGAGCGCCGUCCACCGACACGCGCCGUCCACCACCGAGGGCGAGCGCACGCGCCUCGCCUCGCCCGCCUCGCGCCGUCAGCCGGCACGCGCCGUCCGCCGCCGAGCGCACGCGUCGUCCGCCGUCCGCCUUGAGACCAGCCGCCAUCCAUUGGCGCCCGCUCGCACCUGAGGUCGCUGACAUCGACCUCCACCACCAAGCCUACUACCCUACAGCCAGACAUCGCCGCCCGCUUGUCCCCCAACAUCCACGCCACCCUACCCCUCGCCGACGCGCUUCAGGACCACCCCGUUGGCGUCCGUCUCCACCACCAGACACCGCCGCCUGCUACUCAUCUAGGCAUCUUGAGCAGGUCGGGGCGUCGCCGCUCAUCGGUUGGUGGUAAGGACCGCCGGCCAAAUCUGGCGAAACCCGGAUCCAAUCAGUGUUAGGCCAUCUGGUGCACAUCAGUCAUCCGUCCGUCAUUCGUUUUCUCUGCAGCAUCUGCCUGCUAGGACCAUGCUGCUGGGAUCACGAGCGUCAUUAUGUUUAGCACCUAUAAACAGAGAUUCAUGUGUGUGACGUGCUUUGGAAUUAAGAUGGUAUUAUCCCGUGUGCUUUGGAUUCAGCUAGGAGUACAACAUUAACGAACAUACAGAGUUUGGUUGGUUUUUUUUUUCGAAUCGAGGGAUUAUCCCCAUUUCCAUUGAAUGAACAA